GACGAACGCUGGCGGCGUGCCUAAUACAUGCAAGUAGGACGCAGUUGCGAACGGGUGAGUAACGCGUAGGUAACUACCUAUUAGAGGGGGAUAACUAUUGGAAACGAUAGCUAAUACCGCAUACUAGUAGAUGGACCUGCGUUGUAUUAGCUAGUAGGUAGGGUAAUGGCCUACCUAGGCAACGAUACAUAGCCGACCCGGGGGGGUGGACGGCCACACUGGGACUGGGACCAGGCCCAGGCUCCUACGGGAGGCAGCAGGAGGGGAACAUUGGAAAUGGGGGGAACCCUGACCGCGCAACGCCGCGUGAGUGAAGGAGGUUUUCGGGUCGUAAAGCUCUUUUCUUAAGGAAGCGGUACUUAACCAAAAAGGGACGGCUAACUACGUGCCAGCAGCCGCGGUAAUAC
rnacentral:rRNA from 1 species